CACCGCGAGGUGGAAUCUGAAAGAAGCUGGAUGUGGGAACAGACUAACCACGGGCAAACCUCUGUCCUGACGAACAGAAACCGCAUAGAAGGUUACCCAUGAGGGUGAGACUGCACAUCAAGUCGAAGCCUAAUAGCUGCACGGAAUCAUGUGUGAUAGAUGCGGCAGGCAGAUGGAGGGAAAGAAAC
rnacentral:ncRNA from 1 species